rfam:Halonotius sp. J07HN4 genomic scaffold scf7180000001348, whole genome shotgun sequence.
AGUCCCGUGGUGUAGUGGCCAAUCAUGUGGGCCUUUGGAGCCUAUGACGGCGGUUCGAAUCCGCCCGGGACUA